UACAGAGGUGGCAAGCGUUGUUCGGAAUUACUGGGCGUAAAGGGCGCGUAGGCGGCCAUCUAAGUCAGACGUGAAAUCCCCCGGCUUAACCUGGGAACUGCGUCUGAUACUGGACGGCUCGAGUAUGGGAGAGGGAUGUAGAAUUCCAGGUGUAGCGGUGAAAUGCGUAGAUAUCUGGAGGAAUACCGGUGGCGAAGGCGGCAUCCUGGACCAGUUACUGACGCUGGGGCGCGAAAGCUAGGGGAGCAAACGGG
rnacentral:rRNA from 1 species